rnacentral:rRNA from 1 species
AGGAAAGACAAGCAAUUGCGAUUGCUUCAGUAAUGGCGAAUGAACUGGCAACACAAGGCUCAGCCUGAAUGGAAUCCAGCUGCACCAGUGGUGCACUCGGCUCGUGUGUGAUUCAGCAAAUGCUGUGGGUUGAUGGAGCAAGUGGUGAGCCUGUGUCGAGCCAUGCACCAGGAAUGUCCCUGGAAUGGGCAACAACAGAAGGAUACUGUCCUGUAUGGUGCUGUGUGCUGUGGCUUGGCUAGGCUUUGCUGCCUGCAUCCAGGAGUAGAGUUGCUUGGGACUGCAGUUUGAAGAGCACGGUGUAUCCUGUGCAAGGCAGAAUACUGACAUGGAACCGAUAGAGCACAAGUAGAGUGAUUGAAGGAUGCAAAGCACCUUGCAAAGGGGGUUCAACGUCCCUGAAGCCUCAACAGGAACGGUGGAGAGUGGUGCUGUGGUUAUCUGGUCGUGAUCAGGCACAUCCUGUCCAAACUGGCACGUUCCAGCUGGCUGGUGUGCUCUGAGGCCAGUGUCCCCUGUGGACGAAAGUUGAAGCCAAGCAACCUUGGGCUAGCCCAGAGCUGGCCACUGAGCUCCAUCCCAGACGUUGGAAUGCAUUUCGUGGCAGUUUGUGGUGACACUCAGCUUGCCUGAGCCUGAGGGCAGACAGAUCAGAGAGAUCCCAGACAAGUCUCCAAGAGGAGCAAGGGUCAGAAUGAGAGCCAAACCUGCUUUGUCCAAGGACAUUGCAGUGCACUGUGCCUUUUACAUGCCACAGCUAUGCCAUGCUGCCUGUUGGCUGCACCAUUCUGAUGGUGGCUCACUGGUGGUGGAAGCUAGGCAGAGAGAGUGCAGUGCAGAUGGCAGUUGAGCUUGGUCUCAGGAUCACUCUCUGCCCGUCUUGAAACACGGACCAAGGAGUCUAUGGAGCACGCAUAUCUGAUGGUGUGAUCAGCAAAACCACUCGAUGUGGUGAAGGCAACAAACCCAGAUGGUGCAACUGUGUCACGGCUGGAGAGACACUCUUUAUGAGCUGUCACCCAAGGGCUGAAGCAUGUGGAGGUUCUGUGCUGAGGCCCACAGCACGACAUCAGUGUAUGAUACUGCAUGGGACACCAGUCCCAAAGUCCAAUGGACAGGGUUCUGAGUGAAUGCAUGGUCCAUGGGACCCGAAAGGUGGUGAACUAUACUGUGCCAUGGUGAAGCUGUGGGAAACUGCAGUGGAAGCCAGAAGCUGUUCUGACGUGCAAAUUGUGUAGCCUGAGCACUGCAUAGGGGUGAAAGGCCAAUCGAGCCACCUAGUAGC